GGCAGGAGCUGGCAACGGCAGGAGCUGGCAACGGCAGGAGCAGCAUGGGCACAUCGAUUCCCGGAGGAGGAAAACACCUGUGCCCAACUUCGCUCCAGCACGGUGAGAAAAUUCAUUUUUCAGCAGCAAAGGACUUGGCAGUUGACUGGCUGCAAUCUACUACAAGGGACCAGUAUGUGAGUACCAGGGUCGGUCCCAGCGGGGGUUUUAGUUACAAUGAUCGCUUCUAGGCCUUUUGGCUAAGACCAAGUGUAGUAUCUGUUCUUAUCAGUUUAAUAUCUGAUACGUCCCUUAUCUAGGGACCAUAUAUUAAAUAAAAUCUAUAAUAGCUGUUAUCAUCAGUUUUAAUGUCUUAUAUGUUCCUUAGCUAAGGACCAUAUAAGUAGGAGUGCCCAGAAUUGAGGGCAUUAGAGUGGGGUUGACCGGCUGCAACGACCGCAAGGGACCAGUACCGUCAGUACGGGGGUAGUGGACUGAGAAGGGUCCGACUUUGCAUAAAACCGCCGGCAACCAGCGCCCGAGAGGGCUGGAGCGGGAAGAAGCGGUGUAUGGAGCCUUGCUCCAACGUGAUAACCCACAGCAGUACCUCUUUGAGGGCUGCACAAUGUUUCUACCCCAUCAGAGGGGAGCACUGUGGGUCAGUUCUGGGUUGACUUGCAAGAGGGGUCCGCAGAACAAAAGACAAGUGGGCAGCAGUUAAGCCCCACAUGGGUACCCCGUGCGGGACCCUAGAGAUCUCUAACUCUAUAAAAAAGAGUAGGCAGGACCCUGAUGGGCCAGAGCCUGGUAAUACAGCAUCCCAUGAUCCUAACACAGCAGGGACUCUGCUGGACAUGGUGGCUGAUUACUUUAACCAAGUCAAACAUGGGUAGACUUGGAUCCAGGAUGGCAAUAGUAUUACUAUAUGUCUGGCCACAAACGCCAACAGGGAAAAAAUUUACAGACACUGGCCAGACAUCUGCCACCUGGCAACGGUGAGGCAUUACGGGUGCCCAGUGUAAACCAAUGCAUUUGGCAGCAUAUGGACGAACAUCAGGAACCAGGACCUCAAGAUCCAGAGAACCUUAAAGGGAUUGACGGAAGGCAUCAUAGAAUACACUCGCACCCUGGACUAAAUGUAGGUAACCAAAGACCAUCUAGACGCACUAGCUCUGUUUAGUAAUAUGCAAUAUGAUCUGAACUACACAUGGAAGGCGGCCAUUCAGCCAGCACUGGGACCCCAAAAAAUGCUACCAUUUGCAAACAAAGAACCGUGAGUGGACAAAGCCAAGACACUGGGGCUCAUCAAGGCCAGCGCAAGGGCCUAUUUUGGAGCAUGAUACCGGCCACAGGCAACGCCAUAAAUAAUGUGGCUCAUACCAGUGGCAGUGCUAGAAAUCAAUAACCCGCAGGAUCCUUUUUUAGGGUAUGGCCAGGGCGGCCACCCUGGAAGAUGCGGGAACCUCAACCUCCCACACAACCCCGAACAAGAGAUAUCAAACCAGAACCUCCUUUGUCAAAAAACCAAGGAAAUAACACAACCACCGGUAACCAUGGAGGUAGGUGGGUGGGGUUUUCUUCUGUUUAAAAUAGGGACCUAUGAUGGUAGGGGAGGUUACAACACUACAGUUAUGUAUGGUAUAUAAUCACUACAGAUUCAUAUAAUCUCAGCAGUAUUCAGGGUUAUCUGAUAAGAUUUACUCAUUCCAAUAUCCACAGUACAACAUACACCAGAAGGGCAUUUUGUCCUUACAUAAACCAAACAAUCUAAAACCCACAUGGUCUACAAAAAUUGUACACAAAAGAUGUGAUUGAGCAUACUUUUCAUGGAACAUUAGAAUUGUAUCAAACAUAUUUAUUAAAAAUAAAUAGAGUAGGGUUGCAGGAUUAUCAUUGAUUUUAACCCUAAACACAUUUGUUCUAGAUAUUCAUUUUAAGAUGGAUACUCUUUUUUCUUGAUAAGACUUGGUGUCAGCUGCGGGUUUUCUAUAUGGCAGGCAUUGACUCAAAAGAGGAACUUUGGCAAUAGAGCUUACAAUAGGGGCAAUCAUUAGCUCCAAUAUUAUUUACUAAAAUUCUAAAACCAGCUUGGCAUUGUUAUGUAACAAAGCCAUAGGGUGAUGUUUUUCCCCCGUUCGGCCCCAUCAAUGGGGUACUAGGGAUAAUUCAACUACACUCGGCAUCUGGAAUUCUCAGAGUUCCGACUGACCUUCUAAAUCAUGGUAUUCGGUCAUACAGGGGAUGGUUUAGAACCAUGUUCCCUAUUGAACAUAGCCAAAAAAUUAUUAAUUUUCCAGUGACUGGAGGCUGUCAUCCAUGCCAUAAGACUAUGGAUUAUGGAUUUAUAGAGUCUAAAGACCCACUGCACGGCAUUGGGCUGUCAGACAGGACGAUGAAUCUCAUCUCAUCUGCACUAAGACUGUCAACACGGAAGCAGUACCUUUGGACAUCAAGAAAUGGGGCAUAUACUGCUUGGACAACAACCUCGACCAAAAGGCCAAGAACAUUCUGGCCGUAUUGGAAUUUUUACAAGCCUCCAUUAUGAUAAUCGAUGGAGCUACAGUGCCAUCAAUAGUGCCACAAGUGCACUCUCCAAUUACCUAUCACAAGGAACGGAGCGGCACGCGGUGGGAACGCACCCCUGGUAAGAAAACCAGGUACUCCGAAAUCUGGGACGUGGGUGUCGUUUCUCAACAUGCUGAGGAGCUUGUAGCUCAUAACAGCGUUGUCACUUCAGUAACAGACCAGGAAGAUGGUUAUGCUCAUGGUGUUAUUUACCGCACAACAAGUCCAGCCAUUAAGCAAACUGAGCCUGGACUCCCUGAUCAUCUCACCGAGAAACUGGUGUUGUCAUACAGGAUUUAAUAAAAGAAAACAGAUCGGGUUUCCUCAGGUCAAGUGUUUGAAUUUAUGGUACACCCAUAUGGCAAACGACGGUGUAUAGCAAGACACAUCUAACAAUAUAUGGAAUAUACUAAGAACAUUCGAGGUCAGAAAAUGGAGUUGUUUAUCUCUUAAAAGAAACCGCAUGAAAGGGUCACGACUCAAACUAUAUUAGGUGGCUCAAAUAGGUCCUAAAAAUGACACUAAUGUUUUAACUCUCAUUCCACCAGGGCUGCAGCAA